AUCAAAUAAUGAAGUUUAGCAAGAAGUGCUGUACAGAUUCCCGAACUGUCAACCAUUUUUGCUGUGAGCUAAUGAAAAAACAUGUAUGCUGAUCUCGAUAUGCUUGGAUGAAGAAAUGCCAAGAAAAACCACCAUUGCAAUUACUCUCCUGUUUAUGACAAAUUAAUACUUGGUAUACAGCUUCUCUUGGAUCUCUGCCCUGCGCAUGCUGGGAGUUCAAAGCAGUCUGAGAGGCUCCUGCCAGCCAGAGUUCCAGAUGGGACACAGAACACAAGUGGCACCUACUUGCAGAUGAUCCUCCAGGACCCGCACUACGGAGUUUGACCUUGGCUUCACUGUGAUAACUCCUCAAGUCAAUGCACAGCUCAUAUCAUCCUGGCUAAAUGGAAGUAUUUGCAGAUGUGAAUGGAGAGAAACAUGAUGACUAAUAUGGCACAAUAUUAUUUCAUUCCACAUAUAACUUGGCCCAUGAAG
rnacentral:lncRNA from 1 species